rnacentral:rRNA from 1 species
GAUGAACGCUGGCGGCGUGCCUAAUACAUGCAAGUCGAGCGAAGCGGGGACGGGUGAGUAACACGUGGAUAACCUCCUUUAAUACUCGGCUAACUUCUGGAAACCGGAGCUAAACCGGAUACUUAUAGAUGGAUCCGCGCUGCAUUAGCUAGUUGGGAAGGUAACGGAUUACAAAGGCAACGAUGCAUAGCCGACCUGAGAGGGUGAGAGGAGACACGGGAACGGAGAGACGGACCAGACUCAGAAGGGAGGCAGAAGUAGGGAAUCGGCCGCAAGGGGAGAAAGGCUGACGGUGCAACGCCGCGUGAGUGAAGAAGGUCUUGGGAUCGGAAAACUCUGUUAUUAGGGAAGCGGUACCUAAUCAGAAAGCCACGGCUAACUACGUGCCAGAAGCCGCGGUAAUUC